rnacentral:rRNA from 1 species
UACAGAGGUCUCAAGCGUUGUUCGGAUUCAUUGGGCGUAAAGGGUGCGCAGGCUGUGUGGUAAGUCGGGUGUGAAAUUUAGAGGCUCAACCUCUAAACUGCAUCUGAUACUGCCAUGCUAGAGGACUGUAGAGGAGAUUGGAAUUCACGGUGUAGCAGUGAAAUGCGUAGAUAUCGUGAGGAAGACCAGUGGCGAAGGCGAAUCUCUGGGCAGUUCCUGACGCUCAUGCACGAAGGCUAGGGGAGCAAACGGG